ensembl:lncRNA LINC00941 long intergenic non-protein coding RNA 941
ACAGACUUCCUGCCUUCCCAGCUCGGGUAGAGACAGCUCCGGGCCGGGGGUGGAGGAUGGUGCGGUGGGGAGGAGGCAAGGAAAUUCCCAGCCUUCCUGCGCGAACCUGGGAGACCAGCAGGCACCUGGUCUCGUCCCGCUGGGUCCCCUCCGCACCCAAGACUGUCUUCCCAAGUGGCUUACUCCACAGAAGGAAUGUCGUCAGCUGAUUAUAUCUGAUUAGCAUCCAGUUCCGACGACUCAUCCCUUAAAACAAGCGCCCUCGAGAAGUGUCUAAAGGAGACAGUUGAUAGCCAAACAACAGUUUUGGAUUCACUGACUGAUUAUGAAAGAAGCAGUAGACUGGUAUCAAGAAUCAGUCAGCAAGGAGGCCCUCACCAGACGCCAGUGCCAUGUUCUUGGACUUCUCAGCCUCCAUAUUCAUGAACUAAGUUUUUGGAAUCCUUAGGCUUCCACGUGUGGAAAGCCUGAGCUAACCUACUGGAGGAUGAGCCAUCACCUGGAGCAGAUUCAGGCCAUCCUAGUUGAAGCCUCCCUAGGCCAAGCAACCGUCCAACUACCAGACAUUGACCAUUCAGCCUUGAACAUUCAGCACAAAGACAAAACAGACCAGACCAGAAGAGUCCCACAGAAUAGGGGAAACUAUUCAGAGAAAACUUAAGCCACUAAGUUUUAUGGUGUUUUGUUCUGUAGCAGAAGCAUAGGCAUACUGACAAUACAAACCGAAAUCCUUCUAACGUAGUGGACCUUUUCAGGCCAGCAUUUUUUCCUUGAAAACCUGGAGCAUGUAUCCAUCUUAUAGCAGAGAUCACUUUCACAAUGUUUGGGCUCUUGAUUUGAAUUGAUGAUGUAAUGAGCCCUCUAUCCAGAUUGUAACUAAUUACUCUGCGAAUUGACUGGAUUCCACACCCUUCUAAUAUUUUACUUUUCCUCUUUUAUCAACUCUCAUUCUUGCUGCCAUGAUCAAUGGACCAACUAUGCUUAUAACCACAAAUUUUGAUAUGCUUAAACAAAUGAACAAAUAUAUUUAAUAAUUUCU